CUUCCUUUUAUGGUCAUAAACCUUGUGUUUAAAUUUCAUAGAUUUCUAUUUACUUAUACUAACGUUAUGGUGCGAAAACCAAGAAAAAUGCUUAUUUGGGUCCCUUUUUGGCCCCUAAUUUCUAAACUGUUGGGACCUAAACUCCCAAAAUCAAUACCAACCUUCCUUUUGUAGUCAUUAACAUUGUGUUUAAAUUUCAUUGAUUUCUAUUAAACUAAAGUUAUUGUGCGAAAACCAAGAAUAAUGCUUAUUUGGGCCCUUUUUUGGCCCCUAAUUCCUAAACUGUUGAAACCAAAACUCCCAAAAUCAAUC
rnacentral:lncRNA from 1 species